UGUGAAAAUGUCUCAGCUUCGAAACAAGCCAUCAUACAUAUCCAAGUUUACGAUAUGGACUGAGCUACAGAAGAAAACGUUACCAUUACCGCCUAUGGAGAAACAAUUGCGCAUAUUGCCCCAAUUUAUAAGACUGUAUAUUUGAAGUUGUCAGACUGAUUUAUGAAUGAUUGCAUCUUGUACACCAGAGAAAAUUGUGAAAAUGAAGUUUCAGACAUAUCAUUCCAGUUUAACCUGAGAUGGUAAAUAAGAGGUUUUAAAAAGUUCUGAAUUACUGAAAUGGACAAAAACUCACAGUUUUAUUCAGAAAGUCAUACUCAUGAAGAUUACACAGGAAUAUUGGGAAAAAUCAGAACUAUGGAUUUCAAUAUGGGUCAAUAUCCCUAAUGCGCCUCAAAUUGAGGAACACAAAAUGUGUGUGUAAACAAAAAAUCUCUGUGUAGUGAUAUUGGACAUGUUUCUAUUUUUAAAAAGUGACUGAGCUUAACCAUUUGUGUUGAUUUGGAAAGUAGAGGACCAUAGAAUAAAUGUGUAAAAACUAUGGAGUUAUUAAAUGUAUUCAAAGUAUUAAAUUUUCAAAGAAUUUAUUGUGUGAAAAAAGGGAUUUUUUACCAGGAAGAGCCGCAUCACGAAAGUACUUUCGGGGUAUGCUAAUUUACGGAAAAAUGAAUCACACUUCGUACCCCGAAAAUUUAACCACAUAUGUGAAAAUGUCUCAGCUUCGAAACGAGCCAUCAUACAUAUCCAAGUUUACGAUAUGGACUGAGCUACAGAAGAAAACGUUACCAUUACCGCCUAUGGAGAAACAAUUGCGCAUAUUGCCCCAUUUGUUUGUUGAAAAACACGUUCUUUAUAAUUGUGGUUGUAAAAUUACCUCAUCAGAUUUACUAUGCUGAUAAUUUAGUACGCCAGACGCGCGUUUCGUCUACAAAAGACGUUCAGAUUAACGUUACGAAAUUCCGCUAACUUGUGUCUAUGAAUUGCAUCUUUUUUUUAACACUUGUUGUUAAUCUUACAUUUCAUUAGUUAUUGCUAUUUACCCAUUUUAUAUAUACAAAAUCGGUGUCAGAACUGAUGAAC